AUAUCCCACAUGGCACCGCGAGGGCCGUCUGACGCUCCGGCCCACGGCUCAUUAAUAGUAAUGAGAUGCAACACUGCCACAACCCGUCAGGGGGCGCUGAAACAGGCACUUGGUGGGGAGCAGCAUCCAGGGCGCUGAUUGCAUGCGAUUUUCAUCCCAUGUGGGUUCGUUAUUUUUAACGUAUUCCCCGUGGAGCCAUAAAUGUUCCAGUAUAACUUCGGUUUAUGCACGGAAUUAGCAUUCAAGCUAUGUCCAGAGAAAUAAACAAAUCUUGCUCUAGCAAGCCUCCAGCUUAAAAUGGCUGCGUUUGCCGACAGUGGAGCUACAAAGGAUGCAUUCACUGCACAUGGAGUCGGAGUGCCUGUGACAUCACCUGUGCCGCCACACAUUGUGGCCUGCAUCAAAGAACAAAGGCCCGCUUUCGUCCAAGGAUUGGCAAUCACCCUCAGAAUGUCACUCAGCUUUGAGUUUUCUCCACCAUGCCGCAGGGCUGCAUUCCUGGCCAGGACUUACGAUGCCGGCUUCUCCGGAAAUGCAGAGUGUGCAGUCCGUCAAAAAUCUUCAUCGUAGCACUGGACCGUUGAGGGAAGACAAGUCACAUCCCCUUUUACGGCACUAGCUGCCAUAUUUUGGUACAGCAAAAGUCAGUCUUCAGGCUGCAUGUAAAUUCCUUCAGUUCUUCAGAAAAUGUGUGAAUUAUGUUAAGUGUAUUACAUUAGAAAGUAACAUAAAAUUCACAUGGCAAAGUUUUCCUCACCUAGUGGAUACAAUUCAGACUUUUAAGUACUUGCAUCAAAUAGAAAAUAUAGAGGACGUAAUUCCAACUUUGAACGAAGUUUCUGCUUCAGUCUUUUCCAACAACUUGAUUAUUAGGGCUACAGAUUUACUUUGGCUUUCUGUGGGAGAAAUCCCUAUCGCCCCCUCCUUUUGUAUGAACUGGAUGACUUCAACGAUGUGAAACCUUCCAAUUUUUAAUUGGAGUCACCUCAUUUCAACUGUUUCCCACGCAGCUGACGGAAACUGACAGAUGAGUGGCCCCCACGCUUGGGCCAGGAGGCCUCAUAGCUUCAUCCAACAUAGAAACGAGAGAACGUAAUCUGCCAAAUAGAUCCCAGAGCACAGGCUUCCUUACAAAACCCCAUCAAAACAAACUUUAAAAAUGGCUUUAAAGGAACAAAUGGUGUGUUUCCGCUGAUGACUUGAACUAGUUUGAUGAGGUCAUUCGUAGGGUUGGCUACUUUGGAGCUGGUUCUUUGGGAUGUCACACCGUAAUUUUCUGUGAGCUGGAGACAGGCUGAAGAAGAGAAAUAGUCAGGAGCCAGGUUGCUGGUAGCGACGUCUGAUAGCAAUCCACAGCAACCGAGGCUGGAGCCUUCAGAUGGCAUCGGUGACACCUCUAUUUGUUGUGCAUCACUGUAUCAGAGAAGUGACUAAGGUUCUCUACGUCAGAAGGAACACCAUGUCUUUUCCAUUGGACAGAGCGAAGGAGGGUGAGAAAGAGGAUUAGGCUUUGCCUCUUCUCCCGCAGUGUCCAACGUGCCAUGGACUGCAAUCACAUUGCCCUGCAUGAUCUCCAUUAGCAAGCAGACUGGGCCCCUUCUCAUUGGAAAGGGGCACCAAUUCUUUAAUGUGCAUCUUGUUUGAAAUCACAGGUGGAACAUUAUGGAGUUGUGUCCGAAUUCAUUCUCUGUGCCGCCUUUAUUCCAGUCAAGCAACCAGGUCACAGCCUGGCUACUUGGCAGCAAGGCUUAUCUCCCCCAGACAGAGCCUGUGACUCGUCAGGAUUCCAGUUACAGAUGCAAUGCAAGCCUACUAUGAGAUCUAUGCUGCCACCAGGAAUAUUAUUGAACAGACUGUCAGCACACUCAAGUCACAGUUCUGUUGCCUGGAUCAUUCGUGAGAAGCCUCGCAAUCCACCCCAGACCUUUGUCAUGAAGAGAUUAUUGUCUAUAACGUUAUUUGAAAUGAUUUUUAAAUUGGAAUUGUAGUAGGGUCUGUGUCUGUGUGUCUCUGAAUUGGAUUAAA